rnacentral:rRNA from 2 species
UACGUAGGGGGCAAGCGUUGUCCGGAAUUAUUGGGCGUAAAGCGCGCGCAGGCGGCCUUGUAAGUCUGUUGUUUAAACUCGGGGCUCAACCCCGAGUCGCAAUGGAAACUGCAAAGCUUGAGUACAGAAGAGGAAAGUGGAAUUCCACGUGUAGCGGUGAAAUGCGUAGAGAUGUGGAGGAACACCAGUGGCGAAGGCGACUUUCUGGGCUGUAACUGACGCUGAGGCGCGAAAGCGUGGGGAGCAAACAGG